GACGAACCGUGCGAACGUUGUUCGGAAUCACUGGGUUUAAAGGGCGCGUAGGCGGGCUGUCAAGUCGGUGGUGAAAUCUUUCGGCUCAACCGGAAAAUCGCCUUCGAUACUGGCGGCCUUGAGGGAGGUAGGGGCAUGCGGAACUUCCGGUGGAGCGGUGAAAUGCGUAGAUAUCAAGUGGAACACCAGUGGCGAAGGCGAGUCUCUGGACAUUUCCUGACGCUGAGGCACGAAAGCCAGGGGAGCAAACGGG
rnacentral:rRNA from 1 species